AACGAACGCUGGCGGCAGGCCUAACACAUGCCAGUCGAGCGAGGACUUCGGUUCUAGCGGCGGACGGGUGAGUAACGCGUGGGAAUGUGCCCUUCUCUACGGAAUAGCCCUGGGAAACUGGGAGUAAUACCGUAUACGCCCUAUUGGGGAAAGAUUUAUCGGAGAAGGAUCAGCCCGCGUUGGAUUAGGUAGUUGGUGGGGUAAUGGCCUACCAAGCCGACGAUCCAUAGCUGGUUUGAGAGGAUGAUCAGCCACACUGGGACUGAGACACGGCCCAGACUCCUACGGGAGGCAGCAGUGGGGAAUCUUAGACAAUGGGGGCAACCCUGAUCGAGCCAUGCCGCGUGAGCGAUGAAGGCCUUAGGGUUGUAAAGCUCUUUCAGCUGGGAAGAUAAUGACGGUACCAGCAGAAGAAGCCCCGGCUAACUCCGUG
rnacentral:rRNA from 1 species